rnacentral:rRNA from 1 species
GACGAACGCUGGCGGCGUGCUUAACACAUGCAAGUCGAGCGGAAAGGCCCUUCGGGGUACUCGAGCGGCGAACGGGUGAGUAACACGUGAGUAACCUGCCCCAGACUUUGGGAUAACCCACGGAAACGGGGGCUAAUACCGGAUACGACACAGCUUCGCAUGGGGUCUGUGUGGUAAGUUUUUCGGUUUGGGAUGGGCUCGCGGCCUAUCAGCUUGUUGGUGGGGUGAUGGCAUACCAAGGCGACGACGGGUAGCCGGCCUGAGCGGGCGACCGGCCACACUGGGACUGAGAAACGGCCCAGACUCCUACGGGAGGCAGCAGUGGGGAAUAUUGCACAAUGGGCGGAAGCCUGAUGCAGCGACGCCGCGUGAGGGAUGACGGCCUGCGGGUUGUAAACCUCUUUCAGCAGGGACGAAGCGUAAGUGACGGUACCUGCAGAAGAAGCGCCGGCUAACUACGUG